AUGCUAACCCAUGCUACUCAGCCUUGGACAGAUAUUGCUAACCCAGGUAAUGCUAACCCUGCAAAUACCAUCCAUGCAGGUAGAGAAGCUUUUAGAGAUAGCGCUGUGUUGGCAAACGUUGCACUUGGUAGUAGCAAAGCUAGUCCUUUAAUAGAUAAUGUUAAUGCUAUCUUGGCAUCCGAAUGUAACUACUGCAGCCAAACAUAUUGUAACGUUACACAGGGCUUUCCAGCUAGCACCGCUAACAGGAGAACCUCUGUGCCCCAGCCGAUCAAUAACAAAACUGAAUCUAUUGGUUGCAAUGAACCAGGGAGGAUGGAAUCCAUAAUUUAUGCUUCACUAUUAAGUCCCGAGAAAAAACAGAAGAACUCGACAACCCAACAUCCGUCUUUACAGCAGAUGACAGCUCCGGUGUUUAUCGAUGCUAAGCUAUCUGAGGCUAUGAGGAAACUGGGAAACGCAGACGCUGCUUAUUGGACCUUUUCUGGAACAAGAGAAGAAGAUGGAACGUUACUUCUGGAGAGCAGAGAGGAAUCGAUAGAGUGGAGCGAUGUUUCUACAUCAUUCAGUGAGAUAAAUAAUGGGGUUAGCUGGACAGUUCGCCCGGUUGGACUCCACCCCCAAGAGAAGCCCAAGCGGUGCAUCUUGGGAAGAGGACAGAGGAGCUGUAGACAAAUCACAGCGUCUUCUCCCAGGCUCAUCAGCCAAAUACAGCUUUCUGCCGAUUCCCUCUGCUCACCUUCAACCCACCGCACUCGUUUGCCACAGCACCUGGCCCACACAGCUUUACCUGUGAACACAUCCCCUGAUGAUAUCCCCACGUGCUCAUCUGUCUGUUGUCCUUGCAGACAGAAGCCACCGGUUCUUAACAACAAGCCAAAUCUCUCACCCAAAACCCUCAACCAACUCUUUGGGAUCCCGUGUUUGACGGACACUACAAGCUCUACAAGAACCAUGGGUACCUUGGAGUACCCUGGAACACUGGGAACUAGGGGAAGAAUGGAGAACAGUAGCACCCUGGGAAGCAUUGGCACCUAUGGGACCGGUGGAUCCUCAGAGACCAGUAGCACCAUGGGGACCAUGGAUAUCUAUCGGAAACGUGGACCUUCAGAGAAAAAUAGCACCCUGGGGAUCACAGAUCCCUGGAUUAUCAACACAAUUUCUGACCCAGAAGCAGAGGCUUUGCUCUACACAAGCUUGAUGACUGAAGACAAAGACGAGAAGGAGACGGUGGGCAAGAGAGGGAUGGAGUCACCAAUGAUGAUGACAAUAAUGUCCACCAGGAAAAAAAAGAAGGCCAGGAGGAGGAGGAGAAACUCAGGCAGGCCCCUGCUGAUGACGUCAUCCCCAAGGGCCUCCUCCUCCUCGUCUUCCACACCCUCCUCGUCUCCAUCUUCAUCUGGAGACGAAGGAGACGUGAAUGAGAAAACCCGUUGGAGGACGAGGACCAUGGCACGCAACCACAAGAGCUCCUGUGCAGGGAUUGGUUGGAGCAGGUCACCCCCCAAAAACCAUCUCGGGGCGGAAGGGUUGCUGCGAGAUCUUCAGAUCCACGAGGAAGCAGAGAGAGAGCGAGGAAACAAGGAAACAGAGAAGAGGAAGGAAUUACGAGAGGAUCACAAGUUUGAGUCCAGUCGAAUACAAACCACCGAGGAUCUGUUCAAGGUCAUCCACAGAUCCAAGAGGAAGAUGUUCGGAAGGCGAGAUUCAGAAGACAACCGACAUCUAACUCCCUCCUCCUCCCUCACCGCCCCUCGGCCUCCUCUCUCCAGGCCUACCGCGGCUCCCAGAGGUCAAAGGUCAGGCAAGAGCGAGAGCUUCAAGCUCCUUUUGCUGAGGAAAAGGAGUCGGUGGGAUUCCUCUUCUCGGAAAUCGGCUGUUGAGCGACUUUGCAAACUUGCUUCUUCUGAGACUCCUGCUGACCUCCAAAGGGCGACGCCCACAGCAAUGACUACAUCAAUGAUGUCACCGAUGACACUGCCGGGUACACACAACCUUAAUGGCCUUUUUACUCAGAGCCAGAACUUCUCCAUGAUCGGGUUUGGAUGGGGAGAGAGAGUUCAGAAGCAGAAUCACCUCCUUUUCAGCUCCUCCUCCUCUAACUCCUCCCACCUCCUCUUCCUCUCCUCAUCCUCGCAGCCUCGUUCCCUCAAUCCCCCCUGCUCUUCCUGCCGCUGCUGCCUGAAGGCCACCCCGGAGAUGAAGAAACGAGGGGGGAAAAGGAAGAGAACGAUGUUUUUAUGGAGACCGCAGGAAGCGAAGGAGAAAAUCUUAACUGACUGUGACAAUGUCUUCUACUGA
ensembl:lncRNA